rnacentral:misc_RNA from 1 species
GAUGAAGAACGUAGCGAAAUGCGAUAAGUAAUGUGAAUUGCAGAAUUCAGUGAAUCAUCGAAUCUUUGAACGCACAUUGCGCCCUCUGGUAUUCCGGGGGGCAUGCCUGUUCGAGCGUCAUUAUAACCACUCAAGCUCUCGCUUGGUAUUGGGGUUCGCGGUUCCGCGGCCCCUAAAAUCAGUGGCAGUGCCUGUCGGCUCUACGCGUAGUAAUACUCCUCGCGAUUGAGUCCGGUAGGUCUACUUGCCAGCAACCCCCAAUUUUUACAGGUUGACCUCGGAUCAGGUAGGGAUACCCGCUGAACUUAAGCAUAUCAAUAAGCGGAGGA